AGAUGUAGGAAGGCAGAAGCUGUGGCUCCAUGAGAUGUCAGCUAGAGGUUCCAGUAGCCACUAUGCUUACCUGACCCACACCUGGCUGUUCCGUUGACAACGGCCAUUGUGGAAUGUGCGUUAUGCAACGUGAUGGCAUGUGCUGGUGGACACCUGGUCACCUGGUAGAGAAACAGCUUAAACGCAUGUAUUGUUCUGUGACAAGAGAGAGAAUCAGAAUGCCCAUCUCUUUUGUUGAUCGCAAAUGGGUAUCAACUUUUCAGGGUGUAAAUUUGUACUGUAACAUGGAAGUGUCAGCUGAAUGUUUCGUCUAUUUAGCUCUGCUUGUUUCAGAAAAUGUCAUGAACCGCUGUAUCUUGUUUCAAAUAGCCUGUUCACUAUGUCGCCUUCUAAGACUUGAUUGAUUGCCUUACUUUGUUGCUGUUGGGUUCGUAGGCUGGUAAGUGCUAUACGCUUAUAUUGGAAAACUUAGCAUGCGACGGCUAAGGUUGUGUUACAAACUAGAUGAUACCCCGUGUGUUGUUGAGGGAAUUAAUAGUAAUAUGCAGGAUUAACAUUUAAUAAUACUAGUUAGAAUCAUCAUGUGGUACUUGUAUGAUAUAAUGUGAAAAUUGUAGUUACAUAUAGAGUUUAUUAUGUUUUGCAUGAAUAAUUUAUAGUUCAAUUGUAAAAAGUAACAUUCAAGAGAACUAUGCAUUAUUUUUGUGGUUUGUGCCCUCUUAUUUCAGUAAAAUGAUCGGAGAUGUGUUCCGUUUCUUGUGCGAUUAUCAACUGGAUGGGCAUGUGUUUGUGGUUGUUUCAUAGUAUUCUCAGCAUUCCAAUUUCACCUGUGAACAACCAUUAGUAGAGAGGUAUCAGGUGCCUACUACUUAUUGACAUUGGUGGAUAAUAAGAUACAAAUUUGACAAACAUUUCAGUUUCCUAUUGUGAUUGCCUUGUUCAUUCCCGUGAUAGCAACCAGUAGCAAUAGCUAGCUCGAGAAAAAUAUCUGUAGGAACAUAAGGGACUAAAAUUCUUGUGUUAUGAAAUUAUUGCUAGAUGGUUGAGACAUUUCUUCAAUAUCUAACAUGCAAUCAGGCAGGCAGGCCUGAAUAAAUGGUGUUAAACAAAUUUGUACUAUAGCGCAAGCAGGAGCUACGUGCACCGGACUGCCCUUUUUUUAUAUAACAGAAUAGGCAAGUUGCUAUAUUAUCAAAACACAAAGCAUGGAGGAUGGCAGUAUGAGCAACACAUCAAUGUUUAAGUAGGAUAUGCAUAUAGAAUAAAUGAAUGAAGUAAAGAAAACAAAUUCACAUAUCAAAAAGGCAUAUGCCCUUUACAUAGAUUGACAUUGAAUCAUUGAUGGAUAUAAGAUACAAGAACACCACUACAUAGCGGCAUCGCAUGGAUCAUGGGCGGAUCCUUGUAAGGACUAAACAGGGCCAUAGCCCGUCAUAUUCUCUGGAUUUUCUUUCAUGAUUUAGUCUGGAUUUGGCCCAAUAGUAAAAGUUGGCCUAAUGAGAAUGUUGUAGGCCCGUUCUUCAGUUUGUUUCACGCUCCGCCACUGGCAUGGACGCCUUCCCAUGCGGAAGCUCCCUCCUCUCACUCAUUUGCAUGCAACAAUGACACAUAGGAGCAACUCUAAUAGAAUAUGCAAAAUAUAGAUCGCCAAAAUCGUUAUGGAGGCGGCCGCUAAAAAUCAUGGAGGCUCCAGAGCCUGUGUGCAAACUCGGAAUCGCUAUAAAAUAGCCUUCAAAAUUUUCCUGCAUGUGGAACCUGUUUCUCACUGUCAAGCAUUGGCUAUAUGUAAGUUACUUGACAUUCUUUUGGCAUAAGUCGAUUUAGCCUUCAAAGAAAGGAGGCCAUGGGGGAGCUCGAGGUCAAGCCAGGACCUCGCUGGAGAAGGGAAUGGCGUUGUGAGCGGCAGCGAGCUGUGGUGUCCUAGACAGAAGCGAGGAAGCAGGUUAACAAGCGUGGGGUUGCCGAUACUGAAAUAGGGGAUCAGUGAAGGGGGCUUAGAGGGGUGGCGUUGGACCAUGGCAAGCGCGUCGAUGAUGAGUGGUCAAGGGGAGGGCGAGGUGGCGUGCGGCAACGCCUGCCGGUCGUGGGGGCGGAGUUCGGCGGAUGGGGCCAGGUUGGGAGACAGCUCGGAAGGAAGAAAAUCAACAAUGACAUACGAUCCUGGCCGUUGGAUGGAGAUAUGACAGCCCAAAAAAGUGAUCUACACAAUGAAAAAACCAAUCAACGUACACAUAGUCAGUCCCAACUCUUUCUUUUUUCUACUUCCUCAUACAAUAUUGUACGUAAAUAAGUUUGACUUAGAACAAAUUUAGACUUCUAUUAUUUCAGAACGAAAAAGAGUACUAUAUGCUCGAUACUCACUGAUUAUUUAACAUGCAUUUAUUUGGUAUAUGGGUGAUUGGAAACCGACGGAGACAUGUCAUUGUCCCUUCCUCUUAAGCUAAAUGCUUCUUUUUUAACAUCCCCUAAAUGUACUUAAGGGACGUGUCAUUGUCACUUCCUCUUAUUUAUAGUCUAUAAUACAGCAAGCUGAUGUUUUAAGGCAUCCUGUUUCUUGUCUUACUCACUGACAUGCGGGUCUACUUUUGGUUUUCAAAUCAUAGCGCCAGCUGGGCCCUAGAUUCAUCGCCGUCGGCGGUCAGUGUAGCUACACUCCACUCCAACCCACCAAGCACCCAAAUCUCAUACCCACAUUCGACCAUGGCCGCCGCAGUCUGCCACUCCCCAGCUCGCCUCUCCAUCUCCUGCUCCUACUCUUCCUCCCACUCCGCGCCUGCGCGCCCGCUGCGCGUGGCCGUGGUGGGCGGCGGCCCGGCCGGCGCGUCGGCGGCCGAGGCGCUGGCUUCUGCAGGCGCCCAGGCGUUCCUCCUGGAGCGCAGUCCCGCGGGGGCCAAGCCCUGCGGCGGCGCCAUCCCGCUCUGCAUGCUCGACGAGUUUGCCAUCCCGCUGGGGCUCGUGGACCGCCGUGUCACCCGCAUGCGCGUCCUCUCCCCCUCCAACCUCGCCGCCGACUUCGGGCGGUCGCUCCCCCCCGGCGCCCAUAUCCCCAUGCUCCGCCGCGAGGUGCUCGACUCCUUUCUCCGCACCCGCGCCGCCGACGCCGGCGCCACCCUCGUCCCGGGCCUCGUUACCUCGCUGUCCCUCCCCACGGGCCCCAGCGACCCGUACCUCGUCCACUACAUCUCGUCCGGCGACGGCCCCUCACCCACUCGGAGCGUCCUUGAGGUCGACGCCGUCGUGGGCGCGGACGGCGCGAACAGCCGGGUCGCCCGGGAGGUCGGCGCGGGCGACUACUCGACGGCCAUCGCCUUCCAGGAGCGCAUCCGGCUCCCCGACAAGGCCAUGGAGUACUACGACGACCUCGCGGAGAUGUACGUGGGCGGGGACGUGUCCCCGGACUUCUACGGCUGGGUGUUCCCCAAGUGCGACCACGUGGCCGUCGGGACCGGCACCGUGGCCGCCAAGCCGGAGAUCAAGAAGCUGCAGUCGGGCAUCCGGGCGCGGGCGGGGCCCAAGAUCGCCGGGGGGCGCGUGAUCAAGGUGGAGGCGCACCCGAUCCCGGAGCACCCGCGGCCGCGGCGCGUGGUGGGGCGCGUGGCCCUGGUCGGCGACGCGGCGGGGUACGUGACCCGGUGCUCCGGCGAGGGCAUCUACUUCGCGGCCAAGUCCGGGCGGCUGUGCGGGCAGGCGAUGGCCAAGGAGUGGCGGCUGACGGGCGCGGUGACGGAGGGCGGGAUCAGGCGCGGGUACCUGCGGCGGUGGGACGACGAGUUCCUGCUGACGUUCCGGUUCCUGGACCUGCUGCAGCGUGUGUUCUACGGCGACAACGCCGGGCGCGAGGCGCUGGUGGAGAUGUGCGCGGACGAGCACGUGCAGCGCCGGACGUUCGACUGCUACCUGCACAAGCGGAUGGCGCCCGGCGAGCCGUGGGCCGACCUCCAGCUGCUGUGGCGCACCGCCGGCAGCAUGGUGCGAUGCAGCGUCCUCGGCAAGGAGGUCCAGCGCCUCCGCCGGCUCGAGCUGCUGCAGGCUUAGAGAAAGGAAAUCCCUUCUCUUCUCUUUCUGCAAGCAAUGGCCAAUGUGUACCCAUACUGUACUGAAUAAUGAGGUGAACAAUGAGCUGUGCAAUUUCUGCAUUUGCGAUAUGUGAUGCAAGUUUGACAUGGGAAUUUUAUGAAAUGCCACCAUUGAGCGAGCACCAUUUGAUCUGCCGCUGCUACUUUGCAGUCUUUGCACCCGUCUGCCCUGCGAAAUGGCCGGUUUGUCACAGAUUGUGCUUGUGCUGACAUUUGCAUAGUGUAUCGAUUGUCCACAUUUAGACAUUUAGGCCUUCUUUGAUUCAUAGGAUAGGAAUAUUGUAAGAAUAGGAAGAUGACAUGCAUCUCAAUUUCUAUAAAGAAAGAGAUGCCAUUUGAUGCAUAGGAUAGGAAUUUUUACUUUGAAGGAUUGGAUCUUAUCCUACAUAGGAAUAGGAAUCCAUUCCUACAAACCAAAGGACUCCAUAGGAAUUUUUCCUUUGAAAAUUAUCUUACAGACAAUCUGCUGAAGAGCGUUUUUCGCCUCAUGUUGUCUGGAUCUCAUAUAGACAACGAUCAGAUGAGCUUCUGGAGAUGCUCUAACACGCUGUCCAGAUCCCUGGAACAGCACCCUCACUAGUGUUAGAGCGCACACCGUCAGGUGCGAUGAGGCCGGAGAGACUUAUUCCAGAUCAUCCGGUGGCAUCCAAUUCUAGCAGUAUAGAAACCCCCAUUUCAUAAUAUGAUCUGGAAUGCGAUUUCACCAUGACAAUUGACAUGCACAUGAUACAUCAGUACGAGGCACAAAAGCAUAUUUAGAUCAUGGAAUAGCAGUACACAAUUUGUCCAACCUCAUUUUACUCUAGCUCUUGAAGAAAGACAAACAAAUACUCCAAUUCUCAUCGACAUACAAAAAAGUCAGGAAUACUCUCCUCUCCCUAAACUCCAUUUGCUUGUUUCCAUUUCAUCGCCUGAUGGUGCAUAAGGCCAUGCAGCUCAAGCUGAAAGAGAAACAAAUUACAGAAGAGAUGGUGCCCAAACUAAAGCUAAGAGUCAUUCAUCGGCAAAUCUAAAGCUUUCAGCAUACAAGACCAGUAUUACAGCGACAGCAGUGCUGUGGUAAACACCCUGUAGAACAAGGAUGUAUUACGCUCAGGGUGUACCUGUUAAGAGGACAGUAUCCAAGCUCUCCAUUGUAUUUCAUAGAUCUGUUUACAAAACAUUGGGAUAAACUUUCUGGAGAGCUUAUGAGGUCAAUCUAUGUUUCCACUCGAAUAAAUAUCAGGUAAGGUGAAUGCUUGUACUAACGCUAGCUAAAGCCACGCCGCCACUAAGAAAAACAACUAAUUGCCCUGCUUGAUUCUAAUGCCUCGAUCUUCAGCAGGCAGCAAGGUGUACAAAAACCACUGUAAGUUAGGACCAACUUGUAAGGGAACAUCAAAUAUGUGCCUGUCUAAACUCUAUAAUAUGACCUGGGAAAGUGAGAUUCAUCCAGAAUUGGAGCAUGUAAAGGGGUAGUAUGCCAGCUCCCCGAGCCUUAAGGUUGUGCAAGGCUAUUUUCCUAGCUUGUUUUCUCCUGAUUUUCUUGCAUUAUUUUUUCCAGUUCCUUUUGCCCAGUAGAUAUCAGGAUCUUCAUUGUGUCGAAUGCGGUGAGUUUAAUGCUGCAUGACAUAACAAACUUGUGAGAGAACAUAAUUUUUAUGGCAAGUUAAAACAUGAUGCUAGCUAUCAGUGUUGCCGUAAUUCAAUUAAAUAUUUUCACAGACAUGGUAACAAAAGCAGCACCUGCUAUUUGGUAGAUUUUUCAGCGCGUUUGGCACAAAACCUCUGUAUAGCCCAACUAGACCAUCACGCUCCACAAUGCCUGCAUUUCGCAUAAAAAAACUCAAAAAUGCUUCAAUUUGGUCAAUAGUGAACAAGACCAAGCUGCUAAUGAGUACGUAGAAUGGUGAAAAAUGGCAAAUAACAUUGUACACACUGAGGUGGCUAUGUAGCACUAAGCAAAAGAUGCUGCAUUACUGUGCCGCAUAUGCAAGGGUAGCAAAAUUCACUCAGCUACCUGGAAUGGCAUCAAAAAUUGUAUUGUAUGGUGUGCCUUUCAUUUGCAUCUGCCUCCUAACAGUGUCCAACGGAUAGCACAUCAAAGUUGCAAAUGUUGCUGAAAGAAGAGCAGUUGCUAGAGAAGUCUCUGGUCUACUCUUGUACUUCUCCGGUACGGAUUUCUUCAUUCUUCAAUACAGAAAUGAUGAUUUGGAUAUAUCAAAAAUGUGAGACAAAUAUCGAAAUCUGAGACCAUUUUAUAUACCAUACACUAUGAAGAAUUGAAGAUGCAGUAGAAAGGAUCUCACAGGUCAAAAACACAGAAGUUUACAGCAAUGUAAGGUGCAAUUCCUAUAAGAGAUGGACCAAGGCCCCCAUAGAAGGAAGCUAGCCCUUCUUCUCUCAGCAUGUUCAGAGCAACCUACAAAAUUAAUCAUCAUGAAAUGCCAGUUUCGAACUACAGAAAUUUGUGUUUGUAAUAGUUAUUACCAGUGACAUAGUGCUAUGUCCAGAUUGAACUGCUAGCCUAAGCCGGAGGACAUCGAGUGGGUAAGUCACCUAUCAGCAAGUACAAAUAGAAAGUUCAGACCAGAAUAAGAAUGAACGGAAACACAAGUAAUUUUGACCUAUGAAACUAGAAACGAACAGCCAUUUACUAGAAAGUUAGGUAAAUAAAUAAAUUACAAGUGUAGAAGUCAUGCCCGCACAAGCCCCAGCUGCAAGUCUCCCAAAUACAGUAAGCUCUCCAUCCUUUCUCCGGAAUACUUUCUGAAAACAAUAAAUUGAAGUUGUAGAAUAAUAAAAAGGAACACAACACUCACAUUCACAAUCACAAGAACAUAAAAUAGAUUAAGUGAUUAUUGGUAGCAAGGAGAUGUUAUGACCUUGUAAACUUCAUAUGAGAAAAGUUGCACUGCACUGUAUGGAAUUAUGCGGAUAACCUGGAGGAGUUUAUGCAGAAGAAACAAGUCAGCACUGGAACACAAGAUAAACCAUGCACGAGCCUCAAAAUCACAAUUUGCAAGAUGGGUAAUAUCAAGCACCUGUGGAAGAUUGCCCUUCCAGUAACCCUUUAUACCCUCCUCCUUCCCUAUCUCUGCCAUAGCCUACACAAUUGGAGGGGCAUCGGGUUACAUGAUUUCCUUUAUAUGUGAGUAUUCAUCGAUAAGGCAUUAAAAGAAAGUUAUCACCCUUUCUCCCCUAUUUUCUGACUGUCAACUCUAAAAUGCAUCCAUCCAACAGAAAUGGUUAAUAUUCGUAUAUCCGUAUUAAAGAAAAUGAAAAUGACCUGACACAGAGGAUAUGGAAACCAGGUAAUUCCAUGGUUAAGCUUAUCCAGUUGGUCAAACAAGCAUCUCAAAUCUAUUAAUAAUUGAACUAAUACAACAUCAUAGAUACAAGUGAAAAAAUAAAGGAUGGAGAAUCAGCUCAAGCUCUUGCCAAAUAAAGCAAAACAAGACUUGGCGAUUCUGAAGUUUCUAACUGUGAUCUCCCACUAAGGACCUUUUUAUCUUAGCCCUUAAUCUUAAGUUACCUACUUCUUUAUAGUUCAGAUAAGGUCUUUUUGUUUUCGUUAUUCCUGAUCCAUUAUUGUUCAGUUAACAUAGACUGCAGGUGUAUGGAAGAACAUUCAAAAAAAGAAUUUUCUGAAAAAUAAUCAACAAUGGAUUUCAGUUAGCCCUAAAUUUUCUUUGAGCUGCAGUUCUGAAUUUAUGCAUUGAUCAUCAUAUCAAAAUUCACAUGUUUUGCAUCAUUUUUUAUUUGCAACGCAAAACGGAACGGAGCCAAAAGAGAAUGUAGCAUUGUUACCUGCACGAAUCCAAUUCCCUUGGUGCUCUCACCCGCCAUCCGCACGCUAUGUGUCUGGGAGAAGAAGAGAAGAAACGCGGGUCAGAAACAUCAGUUACACACCCAAGCAGCAUGAACCGCGGGGCAUCGGGGUCAGAAGGCCGCAUGCCUGCAUGAGGAGCUUGACGCGGUCGAGCGGCGCGGUAACCGUCUUGGCGACGGCGCCCGCCCCGGCGCCGGCCGCGAAGAGCGCGACGCUGCUGGGCACCAGCGCCAGCAGCGCCAGGGGGUGCUUCAGCAGCUGCGCCACCGGCGGCAUCUUGCCCUUCGUCCCGGAGACCUCCGCUGCCACCUGAGCCAGCGUUCUCUCCUUCUCCUCUCCCACAUCCUCCGCCUUGACGGCGGCCGCCCCGCCCUCACGGACGGAGAGAGACGCGAAGGCGCAGGGCGGGCAGGAGCGGCCCCACGGGUUACCCGCGCGGAGGAGGAGAGCAGGCGCGUGCCCGGGCACGGGCGGCGGGCGCCAGGAGUCGCAUGCCUCCACUCGCCGGUGGCUCAUCGGGUGGUGGUUCGGCGGAGGGAGGCUGCCUGGAUCUGCGAGCCCGCGGGAAUCGGAGGAAUUUGGGAGUGGGGAUGGAGAGGAGGGAGGGGAUAAGGGGAGCACGAGUUGUUAAACCCCGCGGUGGCAACGAGAUUUGGCAGUGGCACGGCACUCGUAGUGACUACCGACUGAGCAGUGAUGACAGCAAUAGGGUCGCAGAUGCGUGGAAAACGAGCAUGGAUCUGCCAAAAACGACGACUGACAUUUUUUAAGAGACACCAAACGCGUUUGGUUGCCCACGUCCAUCCCAUCCAGACCCUCAUACAAAGAAUUUGAUUAGUUUGAUUGAUUGGUCGCGUAAAAAACUAGUCUGUACGAACCUUAAAGCACCUCUAAUUUUUUUAAGAAAAGAUCGAAGCCCGACUUUAAAUUAAUAAAGCUACCAGGCAACGAGAGUAACAACCAACCAUCCAGCACACGCAAAGUAUCAAACCAACAAGCAAAGAUAAAAAAGGCCACAACGGACAAUAUGGCACGCGGGCCAGGGGAAGAACCCACCAAAAAGCCGACUAAGACGACGGUAGACCAGAAGAUGCAGCACAAGCUAAGACGACCUGGCCCGAUCCCUCCCGGAGAUAGAAGUAGCAAAUGCACGCACACGAGCGAUGAGGGCCGCCACAGCCGCCUUUUCAUCCUCCUCAAUCAAAGAUUUCCACUGCUGCAAAAAUAUGGACAGUUUGAAGAUGACAUUAAUCGCCGAGUUAGGGGACACCUGCUCAAUAGUAAACUUGUUUUUACUUUCUAGUUGUCCACGGGGUCCAACACAUGGCCGAGAAGGCAAACCAAAACAGUCUCUUGAGCUGACCAGACAGGGUGGCCGCAAGUACGCGGAGAGCAGAGAAAUUAGAAGAGCCCAAGGGACCCCAUCCACUCCCUGAGACCGCUCCACAGCAAAGACGCCGGCGGACAACGAAACAUGAUGUGGUCAGUGUCCUCCAAGCUCCAACAAAGAGGGCAGAACUCCGUACCAGGGCUAUGACGUUUCUUAAUCUGAUCAACAGCACGCAGACGCCCCCUCAUCGCCUGCCACAUGAAAAUUUUGAUCUUCGGAGGUACUCUAGCAUACCAAAUGGGUUUGAACUUAGACACCGAAGGACCAUAAGACAAAACACGGUAACAAGACUUAACCGAAAAACGGCCAGAGGAAGAGUGAGGUGAUGUAUACUACGCAACUUUAUUCUUGUAGACUCGUGUUGGGCCUCCAAGCAUAGAGUUUUGUAGGACAGUAGCAAUUUUCUCUCAAGUGGAUGACCUAAGGUUUAUCAAUCCAUGGGAGACGUAGGAUGAAGAUGGUCUCUCUCAAACAACCCUGCAACCAAAUAAUAAAGAGUCUCUUGUGUCCCCAACACACCGAAUACAAUGGUAGAUUGUAUAGGUGCACUAGUUCGGCGAAGAGAUGGUGAUAAAAGUGUAGUAAUAAUAGUAGAUAUUGAUUUUUGUAAUAGGAACAAUAAAAACAUCAAGGUAGCAAUUGAUAAAACGGAGCACAAACGGUAUUGCAAUUCUUAAAAAUGAGGCCUAGGGUCCGUACUUUCGAUGGUGCAAUCUCUCAACAAUGCUAAUAUAAUUGGAUCAUAUAACCAUCCCUCAACGUGCGAUGAAGAAUCACUCCAAAGUUCUUAUCUAGCGGAGAACAUGAGAAGAAAUUGUCUGUAGGGUACGAAACCACCUCAAAGCUAUUCUUUUCAAUCAAUCUAUCCUAGAGUUCGUACUAAAAUAACACCAAGCUAUUCUUUCCGAUCGAUCUAUCCAAGAUUUCGUACUAAAAUAACACCAUAUGAUACACGUCAACCAACUCUAAUGUCACCUAGAUACUACAAUGUCACCGCGAGUAUUCGUGAGUUGAUUAUACGAUAUGCAUCAAAAAAAUCAGAUUCAUAAUACUCAAUCCAACACAAAGAACCUCAAAGAGCGCCCCAAGAUUUCUACCGGAGAAACAAGGACGAAAACGUCCAUCAACCCCUAUGCAUAGAUUACCCCAAUGUCACCUUGGGAAUCCGCGAGUUGAGUGCCAAAACAUAUAUCAAGUGAAUCAAUAUGAUACCCCAUUGUCACCACGUGUAUUCAUAGCAAGACAUACAUCAAGUGUUCUCAAAUCCAUAAAAGUAUUCAAUCCAAUAACAACGAGAUCUCAAAGGGAAAACUCAAUUCAUCACAACAAGAUAGGGAGGGGAAAACACCAUAUGAUCCAACUAUAUUAACAAAACUAACGAUACAUCAAGAUCAUGCCAAAUCAAGAACACGAGAGAGAGAGAGAGAGAUUAAACACAUAACUACUAGUACAAACCCUCAGCUCCGAGGGUGGACUACUCUCUCCUCAUCAUGGUGGCCGCCGGGAUGAUGAAGAUGGCCACCGAUGAUGAUUUCCCACUCCGGCAGGGUGCCGGAACGGGGUCUAGAUUGGUUUUUCAUGGCUACAGAGGCUUGCGGUGGUGGAACAUAUGAUCUAGGGUUAUUUCUGAUGGUUUCUGCAUUUAUAGGAUUUUUCAGCGUGGAUGUAACUUCAUUUAAUUCCGUCAACCAUCGCACCUCCCACGACCUUCGCCUCCCUCGCGCGGUCGCGCCCUUUGAGACUUCGACCGGCUAUAAAUGAGUAAUUUUUUUUACUACUCUGCAUGCAUGAUACUCCCUCUGGUCCUUUUUACUUCUGUCAACCAUUUGCAAAGUUUUUGACCAAAUUUAUACUAAAAAUAUCAAUAUCUACAAUACUGAUUAUAAUGAGUAUAAAAACUAUGUUUUAUAAUGAGUAUAAAAAUAUUGAUUUGACAUUGUGAAUGUUGAUACAUUUUUCUAUAAGUUUGGUCAAAGUAGAGGUACAUUGACUUCAGACAAAACUUAAAUGCACAAUGUAGACUAGUUCCUCCGUCCAGGUGCGUGCCAUGUCCUAUCUAGUCAUCACAACAAGGUUAGCUAUUAGUACUACUACCUCCCUUCUAGUUUAAAAGGCUCGAUUCAAAAAUUUCACCUACUCUUACCAAGAUAGAGGCGGUGGAAUAGUUUUUGUAGUGGUUUCUAGAGUCUGGACCCCAUCUUCAGGAACCUUCACCGCCGCCGGCAAGAAUGCAAGGAGAUGAACCAGAAAGGAAAUGAGGCUGGAAUGAGUAGUUCCAUAUUUUAUACAGUGGCAGAGGUGGGUAAAUAUCUGCUAUACCUCCGGUGGCAAGGCCAUCUCUCUAUGCACACACAUCUCAGCCGUUGGUUCCAAGUAGAUCGAACGGCUCAUGUUUUCCAGAGGUAGACACACCAUCACCACCAACUGAGAUUUUUAUAGGAGUAAUAAAUAUAUAGAGUAGAAAAUAGAGAUAAGAGUCGAGAUAGAGAGUAGAGAUUAGUCAAUAUUCUCUUUAGGCUACUCAUAGUAGAAAGUAUCAUAUACUAGUAUCAUGUGCAUGAUACUAGUGUAUGAUACGGGACUACCUUUAUAGUGCCAUGUAUGACUCAAAGUAGCAUAGUAUUUAACAUGAUACGGUAUCUACCUAUGUUACUCUUCUUUAAUUCUUUGUCACAUCAGCAUGUUUGCUAUUCCCGUGUGCAUGAUACCAGCUAGUAAGAUACCACAUUACCACCACUAUGGCCAGCCUUAAUCAUCGCAUGCAAUAAUUUAGUGCACCUUGAAAUCUGAACGCCUGCUUGACUCUCCUUCUCCCUCCGGCAGUCCCACCACUCCACCCCGUGUGGAAAAAAGCUGCAUGCAUGACUCUCCUCCCCCCGCGCUCGUCCAAUCCAUUGNNNNNNNNNNNNNNNNNNNNNNNNNNNNNNNNNNNNNNNNNNNNNNNNNNNNNNNNNNNNNNNNNNNNNNNNNNNNNNNNNNNNNNNNNNNNNNNNNNNNNNNNNNNNNNNNNNNNNNNNNNNNNNNNNNNNNNNNNNNNNNNNNNNNNNNNNNNNNNNNNNNNNNNNNNNNNNNNNNNNNNNNNNNNNNNNNNNNNNNNNNNNNNNNNNNNNNNNNNNNNNNNNNNNNNNNNNNNNNAAUAUGCCCACGUAGUUGUUACGUUAAUCACGCAACAUAUCUUACGGGACGCUGCUUCAGUUACUUAACUGCAGGUGCAUUGGGUCACUGACAUGUGGGCCCAACAGGCGGUUGGCCCACAUGUCAGUGACGCAACUGGACUUGCAGCUAAGUCAGUGGAGCUCAGUCCAUAUCUUAGGUAGGUGUGCCAUUGCUCGCUAUAAAUAUUGCGCCUCCCACGACAUUCGGAAGAACGCUCACGUUCAUCGCUAUCUCCUUGUGGGAAAUAUGCCCUAGAGGCAAUAAUAAAUGGUUAUUAUUAUAUUUCUUUGUUCAUGGUAAUUGUCUAUUGUUCAUGCUAUAAUUGUAUUGUCCGGAAAUCGUAAUACAUGUGUGAAUACAUAGACCACAACGUGUCCCUAGUAAGCCUCUAGUUGACUAGCUCGUUGAUCAACAGAUAGUCAUGGUUUCCUGACUAUGGACAUUGGAUGCCAUUGAUAACGGGAUCACAUCAUUAGGAGAAUGAUGUGAUGGACAAGACCCAAUCCUAAGCAUAGCAUAAAAGAUCGUGUAGUUUCGUUUGCUAGAGCUUUUCCAUGUCAAGUAUCUUUUCCUUAGACCAUGAGAUCGUGCAACUCCCGUUACCGUAGGAGUGCUUUGGGUGUGCCAAAUGUCACAACGUAACUGGGUGACUAUAAAGGUGCACUAUGGGUAUCUCCGAAAGUGUCUGUUGGGUUGGCACGGAUCGAGACUGGGAUUUGUCACUCCGUGUGACGGAGAGGUAUAUCUGGGCCCACUCGGUAAUGCAUCAUCAUAAUGAGCUCUAUGUGACUAAGGCGUUAGUCACGGGAUCAUGCAUUGCGGUACGAGUAAAGAGACUUGCCGGUAACGAGAUUGAACAAGGUAUUGGGAUACCGACGAUCGAAUCUCGGGCAAGUAACAUACCGAUUGACAAAGGGAAUUGCAUACGGGAUUGAUUGAAUCCUCGACAUCGUGGUUCAUCCGAUGAAAUCAUCAUGGAACAUGUGGGAGCCAAUAUGGGUAUCCAGUUCCCGCUGUUGGUUAUUGACCGGAGAGGCGUCUCGGUCAUGUCUGCAUGUCUCCCGAACCCGUAGGGUCUACACACUUAAGGUUCGGUGACGCUAGGGUUGUAGAGAUAUGUGUAUGCGGAAACCCGAAAGUUGUUCGGAGUCCCGGAUGAGAUCCCGGACGUCACGAGGAGUUCCGGAAUGGUCUGGAGGUGAAGAAUUAUAUAUAGGAAGUCAAGUUUCGGCCACCGGGAAAGUUUCGGGGGUUACCGGUAUUGUACCGGGACCACCGGAAGGGUCCCGGGGGUCCACCGGGUGGGGCCACCUAUCCCGGAGGGCCCCGUGGGCUGAAGUGGGAAGGGAACCAGCCCCUAGUGGGCUGGGCGCCCCCCCAUGGGCCUCCCCCCUGCGCCUAGGGUUGGAAACCCUAGGGUGGGGGGGCGCCCCACUUGCCUUGGGGGGCAAGCCACCCCCUUUGGCCGCCGCCCCCCCUCCAGAUGGAUCUUGGCCGGCGCCCCCCCCCCUCCUAGGGGGCCUAUAUAAAGGGGGGGAGGGAGGGCAGCAUUAUUACAGCCUUGGGCGCCUCCCUCCUCCCCUGCUACACCUCUCCCUCUCGCAGAAGCUCGGCGAAGCCCUGCCGAGACCCGCUACAUCCACCACCACGCCGUCGUGCUGCUGGAUCUCCAUCAACCUCUCCUUCCCCUUGCUGGAUCAAGAAGGAGGAGACGUCUCUGCACCGUACAUGUGUUGAACGCGGAGGUGCCGUCCGUUCGGCACUCGGUCAUCGGUGAUUUGAAUCACGGCGAGUACGACUCCGUCAUCCACGUUCAUUGGAACGCUUCCGCUCGCGAUCUACAAGGGUAUGUAGAUGCACUCCUUCCCCUCGUUGCUAGUAUACUCCAUAGAUGGAUCUUGGUGAGCGUAGGAAAAUUUUAAAAUUAUGCUACGAUUCCCAACAGUGGCAUCAUGAGCCAGGUUUAUGCAUAGUUACUAUGCACGAGUAGAACACAAAGCAGUUGUGGGCGUUGAUGUUGCCAAUUCUUCUUGCCGCUACUAGUCUUAUCUUGUUUCGGCGGUAUUGUGGGAUGAAGCGGCCCGGACCGACCUUACACGUACGCUUACGUGAGACAGGUUCCACCGACUGACAUGCACUAGUUGCAUAAGGUGGCUAGCGGGUGUCUGUCUCUCCUACUUUAGUCGGAACGGAUUCGAUGAAAAGGGUCCUUAUGAAGGGUAAAUAGAAAUUGGCAAAUCACGUUGUGGUCAUACGUAGGUAAGAAACAUUCUUGCUAGAAACCUACGAACCACGUAAAAACUUGCAACAACAAUUAGAGGACGUCUAACUUGUUUUUGCAGCAUGUGUUAUGUGAUGUGAUAUGGCCAGAAGAUGUGAUGAAUGAUAUAUGUGAUGUAUGAGAUUGAUCAUAUUCUUGUAAUAGGAAUCACGACUUGCAUGUCGAUGAGUAUGACAACCGGCAGGAGCCAUAGGAGUUGUCUUUAUUAUUUUGCAUGACCUGCGUGUCAUUGAAUAACGCCAUGUAAAUUACUUUACUUUGUUGCUAAACGCGUUAUCCAUAGAAGUAGAAGUAAUCGUUGGCGUGACGACUUCAUGAAGACACAAUGAUGGAGAUCAUGGUGUCAUGCCGGUGACGAAGAUGAUCAUGGUGCCCCGAAGAUGGAGAUCAAAGGAGCAUAAUGAUAUUGGCCAUAUCAUGUCACUAUUUGAUUGCAUGUGAUGUUUAUCAUGUUUUUGCAUCUUAUUUGCUUAGAACGACGGUAGUAAGUAAGAUGAUACCUUAUAAUAAUUUCAAGAAAGUGUUCACCCUAACUGUGCACCGUUGCGAAGGUCCGUUGUUUCGAAGCACCACGUGAUGAUCGGGUGUGAUAGAUUCUAACGUGUGCAUACAACGGGUGUUGACGAGCCUAGCAUGUACAGACAUGGCCUCGGAACACACGCAAUACACUUAGGUUGACUUGACGAGCCUAGCAUGUACAGACAUGGCCUCGGAACACGGAGGACCGAAAGGUCGAGCAUGAGUCGUAUAGAAGAUACGAUCAACAUGGAGAUGUUCACCGAUAUUGACUAGUCCGUCUCACGUGAUGAUCGGACACGGCCUAGUUAACUCGGAUCAUGUUUCACUUAGACGACUAGAGGGAUGUCUAUCUGAGUGGGAGUUCAUUAAAUAAUUUGAUUAUAUGAACUUAAUUAUCAUGAACUUAGUCUAAAAUCUUUACACUAUGUCUUGUAGAUCAAAUGGCCAACGUUGUCCUCAAUUUCAACGCAUUCCUAGAGAAAACCAAGCUGAAAGAUGAUGGCAGCAACUAUACGGACUGGGUCCGGAACCUGAGGAUCAUCCUCAUAGUAGCCAAGAAAGAUUAUGUCUUAGAAGCACCGCUAGGUGAAGCACCAAUCCCAGAGAACCAAGACGUUAUGAACGCUUGGCAAUCACGUGCUGAUGAUUACUCCCUCGUUCAGUGCGGCAUGCUUUACAGCUUAGAACCGGGUCUCCAAAAGCGUUUUGAGAAACAUGGAGCAUAUGAGAUGUUCGAGGAGCUGAAAAUGGUUUUCCAAGCUCAUGCCCGGGUCGAGAGAUAUGAUGUCUCCGACAAGUUCUUCAGCUGUAAAAUGGAGGAGAAUAGUUCUGUUAGUGAGCACAUACUCAGAAUGUCUGGGUUGCACAACCGCUUGACUCAGCUGGGAGUUAAUCUCCCGGAUGACGCGGUCAUUGACAGAAUCCUCCAGUCGCUUCCACCAAGCUACAAGAGCUUUGUGAUGAACUUCAAUAUGCAGGGGAUGGAAAAGACCAUUCCCGAGGUAUAUUCAAUGCUGAAAUCAGCGGAGGUGGAGAUCAGAAAAGAACAUCAAGUGUUGAUGGUGAAUAAAACCACUAAGUUCAAGAAGAGCAAGGGUAAGAAGAACUUCAAGAAGGACGGCAAGGGAGUUGCCGCGCCCGGUAAGCCAGUUGCCGGGAAGAAGCCAAGGAAUGGACCCAAGCCUGAGACUGAGUGCUUUUAUUGCAAGGGAGGUGGUCACUGGAAGCGGAACUGCCCCAAAUACUUAGCGGACAAGAAGGCCGGCAACACCAAAGGUAUAUGUGAUAUACAUGUAAUUGAUGUGUACCUUACCAGUACUCGUAGUAGCUCCUGGGUAUUUGAUACCGGUGCGGUUGCUCAUAUUUGUAACUCAAAACAGGAACUACGGAAUAAACGGAGACUGGCGAAGGACGAGGUGACGAUGCGCGUCGGGAAUGGUUCCAAGGUCGAUGUGAUCGCCGUCGGCACGCUACCUCUGCAUCUACCUACGGGAUUAGUUUUAAACCUCAAUAAUUGUUAUUUAGUGCCAGCUUUGAGCAUGAACAUUGUAUCUGGAUCUCGUUUAAUUCGAGAUGGCUACUCAUUUAAAUCCGAGAAUAAUGGUUGUUCUAUUUAUUUGAGAGAUAUGUUUUAUGGUCAUGCCCCGCUGGUCAAUGGUUUAUUCUUGAUGAAUCUCGAACGUGAUGUUACACAUAUUCAUAGUGUGAAUACCAAAAGAUGUAAAGUUGAUAACGAUAGUCCCACAUACUUGUGGCACUGCCGCCUUGGUCACAUUGGUGUCAAGCACAUGAAGAAGCUCCAUGCAGAUGGACUUUUGGAGUCUCUUGAUUAUGAAUCAUUUGACACGUGCGAACCAUGCCUCAUGGGUAAGAUGACCAAGACUCCGUUCUCCGGAACAAUGGAGCGAGCAACCAACUUAUUGGAAAUCAUACAUACCGAUGUGUGCGGUCCAAUGAGUGUUGAGGCUCGCGGAGGAUAUCGUUAUGUUCUCACUCUCACUGAUGACUUAAGUAGAUAUGGAUAUGUCUACCUAAUGAAACACAAGUCUGAAACCUUUGAAAAGUUCAAGGAAUUUCAGAGUGAAGUUGAGAAUCAACGUGACAGGAAAAUAAAAUUCUUACGAUCAGAUCGUGGUGGAGAAUAUUUAAGUCACGAAUUUGGUACACACUUAAGGAAAUGUGGAAUAGUUUCACAACUCACGCCGCCUGGAACACCUCAGAGAAAUGGUGUGUCCGAACAUCGUAAUCGCACUCUAUUGGAUAUGGUGCGAUCUAUGAUGUCUCUUACCGAUUUACCGCUCUCAUUUUGGGGCUAUGAUUUAGAGACUGCCGCAUUCACUUUAAAUAGGGCUCCGUCGAAAUCCGUUGAGACGACACCGUAUGAAUUAUGUUUUGGGAAGAAACCUAAGCUGUCGUUUCUAAAAGUUUGGGGAUGCGAUGCUUAUGUCAAGAAACUUCAACCUGAAAAGCUCGAACCCAAGUCGGAGAAAUGCGUCUUCAUAGGAUACCCUAAGGAAACCAUUGGGUAUACCUUCUACCUCAGAUCCGAAGGCAAGAUCUUCGUUGCCAAGAACGGGUCCUUUCUGGAGAAGGAGUUUCUCUCGAAAGAAUUGAGUGGGAGGAAAGUGGAACUUGAUGAGGUGAUAGUCACCCCUUCCGAACCGGAAAGUAGCGCAGCGCGGGAAGAUGUUCCUGUGGUGCCUACACCGACUGGGGAGGAAGUUAAUGAUGAUGAUCAUGAAGCUUCGGAUCAAGUUACUACUGAACUUCGUAGGUCCACAAGGACACGUUCCGCACCAGAGUGGUACGGCAACCCUGUCCUAGAAAUGAUGUUGUUAGACAACGGUGAACCUUCGAACUAUGAAGAAGCGAUGGCGGGCCCGGAUUCCGACAAAUGGCUAGAAGCCAUGAAAUCCGAGAUAGGAUCCAUGUAUGAAAAUGAAGUAUGGACUUUGACUGACUUGCCCGAUGAUCGGCGAGCCAUAGAAAAUAAAUGGAUCUUUAAGAAGAAGGCAGACGCGGAUGGUAAUGUGACCAUCUACAAAGCUCGACUUGUCGCUAAGGGUUAUCGACAAGUUUAAGGGGUUGACUACGAUGAGACUUUAUCACCCGUAGCGAAGCUGAAGUCCGUCCGAAUCAUGUUAGCAAUUGCCGCAUACUAUGAUUAUGAGAUAUGGCAGAUGGACGUCAAAACGGCAUUCCUUAAUGGCUUCCUUAAGGAAGAGUUGUAUAUGAUGCAGCCGGAAGGUUUUGUCGAUCCUAAGAAUGCUAACAAAGUAUGCAAGCUCCAGCGCUCAAUCUAUGGGCUGGUGCAAGCAUCUCGGAGUUGGAACAUUCGCUUUGAUGAGAUGAUCAAAGCGUUUGGGUUUACACAGACUUAUGGAGAAGCCUGUGUUUACAAGAAAGUGAGUGGGAGCUCUGUAGCAUUUCUCAUAUUAUAUGUGGAUGACAUACUAUUGAUGGGAAAUGAUAUAGAAUUCUUGGAAAGUAUAAAGGCCUAUUUGAAUAAGUGUUUUUCAAUGAAGGACCUUGGAGAAGCUGCUUAUAUAUUAGGCAUCAGGAUCUAUAGAGAUAGAUCAAGACGCCUCAUUGGUCUUUCACAGAGUACUUACCUUGACAAGAUAUUGAAGAAGUUCAAUAUGGAUCAGUCCAAGAAGGGGUUCUUGCCUGUAUUGCAAGGUGUGCAAUUGAGCACGGCUCAAUGCCCGACCACGGCAGAAGAUAGAGAAAAGAUGAGUGUCAUCCCCUAUGCCUCGGCCAUAGGGUCUAUUAUGUAUGCCAUGCUGUGUACCAAACCUGAUGUAAACCUUGCCGUAAGUUUGGUAGGAAGGUACCAAAGUAAUCCCGGCAUGGAACACUGGACAGCGGUCAAGAAUAUCCUGAAGUACCUGAAGAGGACUAAGGAUAUGUUUCUCGUUUAUGGAGGUGACGAAGAGCUCAUCGUAAAGGGUUACGUCAACGCUAGCUUCAACACAGAUCUGGAUGACUCGAAGUCACAAACCGUAUACGUGUAUAUUUUGAAUGGAGGAGCAGUAAGCUGGUGCAGUUGCAAGCAAAGCGUCGUGGCGGGAUCUACAUGUGAAGCGGAGUACAUGGCAGCCUCGGAGGCAGCGCAGGAAGCAGUCUCGAUGAGGGAGUUCAUUACCGACCUAGGGGUGAUUCCCAAUGCGUCGGGCCCGAUGACUCUCUUCUGUGACAACACUGGAGCUAUUGCUCUUGCGAAGGAGCCCAGGUUUCACAGGAAGACCAGGCAUAUCAAGCGUCGCUUCAACUCCAUUCGUAAGUGUUCAAAAUGGAGACAUAGAUAUUUGUAAAGUACAUACGGACCUGAAUGUAGCAGAUCCGUUGACUAAACCUCUCCCUAGAGCAAAACAUGAUCAACACCAGGACGCAAUGGGUGUUCGAUUCAUCACAAUGUAACUAGAUUAUUGACUCUAGUGCAAGUGGGAGACUGUUGGAAAUAUGCCCUAGAGGCAAUAAUAAAUGGUUAUUAUUAUAUUUCUUUGUUCAUGGUAAUUGUCUAUUGUUCAUGCUAUAAUUGUAUUGUCCGGAAAUCAUAAUACAUGUGUGAAUACAUAGACCACAACGUGUCCCUAGUAAGCCUCUAGUUGACUAGCUCGUUGAUCAACAGAUAGUCAUGGUUUCCUGACUAUGGACAUUGGAUGUCAUUGAUAACGGGAUCACAUCAUUAGGAGAAUGAUGUGAUGGACAAGACCCAAUCCUAAGCAUAGCAUAAAAGAUCAUGUAGUUUCGUUUGCUAGAGCUUUUCCAAUGUCAAGUAUCUUUUCCUUAGACCAUGAGAUCGUGCAACUCCCGGAUACCGUAGGAGUGCUUUGGGUGUGCCAAACGUCACAACGUAACUGGGUGACUAUAAAGGUGCACUACGGGUAUCUCCGAAAGUGUCUGUUGGGUUGGCACGGAUCGAGACUGGGAUUUGUCACUCCGUGUGACGGAGAGGUAUCUCUGGGCCCACUCGGUAAUGCAUCAUCAUAAUGAGCUCUAUGUGACAAAGGCGUUAGUCACGGGAUCAUGCAUUGCAGUACGAGUAAAGAGACUUGCCGGUAACGAGAUUGAACAAGGUAUUGGGAUACCGACGAUCGAAUCUCGGGCAAGUAACAUACCGAUUGACAAAGGGAAUUGCAUACGGGAUUGAUUGAAUCCUCGACAUCGUGGUUCAUCCGAUGAAAUCAUCGUGGAACAUGUGGGAGCCAAUAUGGGUAUCCAGAUCCCGCUGUUGUUUAUUGACCGGAGAGGCGUCUCGGUCAUGUCUGCAUGUCUCCCGAACCCGUAGGGUCUACACACUUAAGGUUCGGUGACGCUAGGGUUGUAGAGAUAUGUGUAUGCGGAAACCCCAAAGUUGUUCGGAGUCCCGGAUGAGAUCCCGGACGUCACGAGGAGUUCCGGAAUGGUCCGGAGGUGAAGAAUUAUAUAUAGGAAGUCAAGUUUCGGCCACCGGGAAAGUUUCGGGGGUUACCGGUAUUGUACCGGGACCACCGGAAGGGUCCCGGGAGUCCACCGGGUGGGGCCACCUAUCCCGGAGGGCCCCGUGGGCUGAAGUGGGAAGGGAACCAGCCCCUAGUGGGCUGAGCGCCCCCCAUGGGCCUCCCCCCUGCGCCUAGGGUUGGAAACCCUAGGGUGGGGGGGCGCCCCACUUGCCUUGGGGGGCAAGCCACCCCCUUUGGCCGCCGCCCCCCCUCCAGAUGGAUCUUGGCCGGCGGCCCCCCUCCCAGGGGGCCUAUAUAAAGGGGGGAGGGAGGGCAGCAUUAUUACAGCCUUGGGCGCCUCCCUCCUCCCCUGCUACACCUCUCCCUCUCGCAGAAGCUCGGCGAAGCCCUGCCGAGACCCGCUACAUCCACCACCACGCCAUCGUGCUGCUGGAUCUCCAUCAACCUCUCCUUCCCCUUGCUGGAUCAAGAAGGAGGAGACGUUGCUGCACCGUACGUGUGUUGAACGCAGAGGUGCCGUCCGUUCGGCACUCGGUCAUCGGUGAUUUGAAUCACGGCGAGUACGACUCCGUCAUCCACGUUCAUUGGAACGCUUCCGCUCGCGAUCUACAAGGGUAUGUAGAUGCACUCCUUCCCCUCGUUGCUAGUAUACUCCAUAGAUGGAUCUUGGUGAGCGUAGGAAAAUUUUAAAAUUAUGCUACGAUUCCCAACACUCCUCCCCCUCCCUCUCACGUCGACCACCAUGUCAUCGCCCCUCCCAAGCCCUAGGCGCCCCUCGCUGCACCGCGCGGACGGUCAUGCGUCGCCGUUCCAUUCCUCGCCGCCACUAGUCGAGGAGGAUGUGUCGGCGUUCCGCUCCUCGCCGCGGCGCGUCGAGGUGGACGCGUCGGCGUUCCCAAUCUCGCCAGCACGUGCGUCGGAGGACGCGUCUGCUCCCCACCACGAGGAGAACGCUGCGCCGCCCGCUGAGCCCCCCCAGCCUUGAGGAGCUUUGGAAAGAAAUGGAUGUCGCCUUGUGGGAGGUUUUGCCUCCGGCAGAGCGUGCCAAAAUAGAAGCGAAGAAGAAGGCCGAGGAAGAGAAGUGCGCCGCGGGGUAAGCUGCCUGGCAGGCCUAUGUCGCGUCCGAGAGAGUCGGGCAAUUGGCUCUUUAGCAGAAGGCUCAUGCGAGGGCCGUGAGGGUGGCGGAGGACGCUCGUGCCAAAACCCUGAGUGCAGUCGGGCCCAAGCGCCUCAUCUACGCUUGGCGGUACGUGGACGGGGUGCACGCUUCCAGCAAGGAGGAGUACCUCUUGGCGUCGGAUCACCACACCGGUGAGAUCGCGCUCGCCCGCCGGCAAGCCGCCAAUCAGCACCUCGCGAGUUGCGAGGCUGAGAAAGAGGCGUUGUGUCGGCGCACUGGGAAACGGCCGCGCACCAGGGCACUCGUGGCGCGCUGCAAGCGCUCCUGUGAGCGUCGUGGCUUUUAUUAGGAAUAUAAUUUAGUUUCGUAAGGCGAUCUCAUUAGUUUUGGGACGCAAAUGGUAAAUCCCGAACGUUCCGGAAUUAUUAGCGUCCUUAAUUAAGUAUGUAAAAGGAAAUGUUUGGAAACCUUGUGUAUCCGUACGCAUUUUGUAAGUACGUGCAUAUAGCACAAACUUUACUAUAUACUAUCGCACUACACGUCUCUCUCUAUAUAUGCUUGCAGACUGUGCUAAUCCCUCCGUCUAGGUGAAUAAGUCAUCUUUGGUUGUGUACCGUGACCAAGAAGGAGGGAAGACUUAUACACCUAGACGGAGGGAGUACUACUAUUACUUAUGUACGUGCAAAUGCACGUUUUAACAUUACGAUGCAAUUUUUGUAAAAGUAGAAAAACAGCAUUAGUCAAGCUUGUGAAACGAUUCAAUGCCAAAAAAUGCAAAAAUGCUCAUUUGAUUGUUUACUUUUAGCUUCAUUCUCUGUGGUUAUUUCUUCAUUGUACUUCGUACAGAGUAUCUCACUCGUCGAGAAGGCAUGCAAAUUCCCAAAACGCUUCCUACAACCUGUAUCGAAUUUUUUGCCUAACAAGUUGUGCCGUGUUGGAAUUCCAACUUGAGUACUACUACUAGGAGUACCAGGGGCUAGUUCUUUUAGGCUUCUAGAUUAGUAAUCCCAUAACUACUACCUUCGUCUUGGUUUAUUGGUCCCCAUUGUAAUCUGUGUCAAAUUUUGACCAUAAAUUUAACUAAUGAAAUGUUUGUGCAUGUCACAUGCACUAACAUUCUAUCAGUUAAAUCUUUGGUCAAAAUUUAGCACAAAUUAAAAUGGUGAUGAAUAAACCAGGAUGGAGGUACUAGUAGUAGUUUAGAAGCCAAAUAAAUGAGUGGGGCGCCUUAAUGUUACUCUCCACUAUGACUAGUCUUAUGGGAAAAGCUGGGGAAGAGACGGCUUAUUUUUUAAGCCGCCAAAAGAACUGGCCCUAGGGGUAGUAGCUAGGGAUACUAGGAGUAGUAGCUAGGGAUCGAGUGUGAGAGAUGAACCGGAGAAAGUAAAUGCAGAGAGAUGAAAUGCAAAAAAGACGGAGGGAUGUGAUGGUUGCUUGUCCGUUUAUUUUACCAUGCCACUUAUUACUGGGAGUGGUUGGGUUUUGUGAUAUGACGGCUUUACUGCCGCGCCACGAGCGGGCUGAGACUCCCGUGCAGCGCCUCCCUCUACACUAGUACUACUACAUCGGUCGUGGUUUAUUAGUCCCCCAUUGAAUUUGACUGAAGAUUUAACUGACAAAAUGUUAGUGCAUGUCAACAAAAACUAUAUCGUUGGAUUCGUAUUUGAACAUAGUUUUCAAUGAUAUAAUUUUAGGUGACAUGCAUGAGCAUUUAUCAUACUAUAUAUAAUGUUAGUUAAAUUUUUGGUCGUACUAAUCUAUAGUAAGGUGCCCGUGCGUUGCACGGAACAGUGAAAUGCAUUGAUCGGGGAGUUGUUUAUUUUGACAAAGGAUGUGGGGGUCAUCUCAUGUGUAACGGGUAUCGAUAGGUUUCUUCAGAUAUUAUUUCAUCUCUAGAGCUCACAAACAUCCGGGUGAAAUAGAUAAAAAGGUAUGUUUUGCAAACAAAAGCGUUCAACUGUUCAACCUGCAUCCAAAACUUGUGAAGAAAUAACACAUAUUGUGCUUUGCAAGAAAUGAUCUUUAAGAAUUAGUUUUUGAGUAUAGAUUGUUAUACAUGUUGGCUACAGAUGACAUGGCACUUUCUUAUAGUCAACAUUUGGCUAUACUAUUAAGUAUUAACCAUGCUCUUAUGCACCUAGACGGAGGGAUUAAAUCAGGAUGAUUUGGAAGGGGGCAAAGGAGAUGUAAGAAAUGAUUCAUCAUAAGUCUUUCACCAGUACCGUAGUAAAAAUUCUCACUUAAUCUCAUAAAUCGCAAGCGAGAACUCUAAUGGAGCAAAAGCAUACAUGGAAGAUUCUAGACUAAAUCAUAAAUGGAUAAACUUUUAUUCAAGUGCGAUACUCUAAUAGAGCAAGAUCAUGCAUGGAAGGUUCUAUACUAUAUAAAUAAGAAGUCUCCAUAUGCUUAGACAGCGGAUUGCAUUGAGCGAAGACUAAUGAUCAUUAUUUAACUUGGUAAUGCAUAUGUCCAGGUGAACGUCCUUGGAGUCCCCGUGCACCAUGUUGGGGGGGGGAUAUCAUACCAUGCAUCUUCCAUGUCCACAUCGGCGGGAAGGUCCCAGCUCGGCACAGUCCUAGUCAGCAUCAUGGAGCCGGUGUGGGCGCCCACGUACCUCUGAGGGGCAGUAACAGUGAGCACGCACCUGUACAUCGGCCUCGUGUCAGUGUCAGCGUCAACGGCGUCGCCCCUGACGCACACUACAGAGACGAGGCGGCGGCAUGCGCGGGCCUCGCUGGUGCCCACGAUCAAGAGGAAGACGCUGCCGUCCUCCUCUGAGACUAGUAGGCGGCGGUGAUCCUCCAGCGACUCCGGCACGACGAACGGGUAGCACGUCUCAUACUUGAUGUUCGUCGCCAAGGGCCAGUAGUGAUCGACGGAUGCCUGCGUGAGGUGAUGCGCGAGGUCCGCCGGCGAGCCCCAAAAUGGCAUCGGGCACUCAUAGCAGUAGACGAAGGGCUCCUUGGAGGCAUCGACCAGGCUGUCCAUUAAACGGGAGUGGCUGUAGGGGACGUUGCCAGUUGAAUAUAUGAGCAAGUUACUACGAGAUUUAGUCCGAAUAAGCGCAAAAUAAAUCAUGACGGAUAUAACAGAGAUUAAACUAAUCAUGUGGACUAGUAUAGUAGAUGAAUAGAUCAAAUCUAGGAAACAGACUAGAAACAUGAAUUCUACCACGAUUUCGAACAGGAAGGACAGAAACACAUACAGUGCAACAGGGGCAGCACCAUUGGCGUUGAGGUUGUUGCCCAUGUCGUUGAGGAAGAGGUUGCCGAGGUCGGGGAAGAAGUCGUCGUCGGUGAAGUCGUUGCUGCCAGCAGUCGCGUGAGUGCGCUCCCCAAAUUUCAACAUCGCCCGCCGAAUGGAGCGCAGGAGGGAGUAGCUGUAGGGGACGUUGCGGCCGCCGAAUGGAGCGUAGAAGUAGCACACGAAGCAGUAGAUGGUGCUCCUCCCUAGUCUAUAUCUCUACUCUUAUCUCUAUCUCUACUACUCUUCUUUCUUUUUUUAUAAUAUAUACUAGUAGCUGUCAAAUCGAUUAGUACUGCUGUAGCGACCAGACCUCAAAUAGUCUAGUCUGUGCAUCAAUGUCAUCCCUGGAUCGGUAAUGCUGACACACACAGUACUUGAAGAAUUUAUAACAGAGUAGCAAUCACACACUUAUUACACCGAAUAUCUCAAAAGAGAACUUAUUACAAUAAAUAUGGCUUAAGGCCAUCUAAAACGAUAACAGCGGAAGACUUGGAAGAUAAAGUGAGUCCAUCAACUCCAACGGCAUCACUGAGUAUAAGACCACGACCUAAGGCUCCUUACUCGUCGUCUGAAAAGUCUACAACAUGAUACGUUGCAGCGCGAAAACGGGUCAGCACAUGGAAUAUGCUGGCAAAGUAACACAUAGAGAGUAAUGAACAGAAUAAUGCUAUCACUACAUUCAUAUUUGGCUGGUGGAAAGCUCUAUGGUUACAGUUUUGCGAAAAGCCAAAUUUUCCCUACUGCAAAGGAAUAUAUUUUAUUUAACUACAAAGUUUGUUGAAAACAUUGAGAAGGUAAACCCCUCUCAAUCCCAAUUAAAGUAAUCAUUAACAACCCAACAAAAUUAGUUAAGUACAUGAUGAUGAGAUUCACAUGAUAAUCCAAGAACUAGAUACUCAAGAUGUCCAUAACCGGGGACACGGCUAACCAUGAUUAGAUUGUACACUCUGCAGAGGUUUGUGCACUUUUCCCCACAAGACUCGAUCUCCUCCGUUGGAUUUCUCGCACUACAUGGUGUUUGAGAAACGGAUGACCGAGACACAGUCUUUCAGACGCGUUAGCACCUUACGAUGGGUAGACAGUUACACCUACUUUCCCCUAUAUCUGCUAGUCUACCACUGUAAGAGUUCACACAACUUAAUCAACUAUGCUAGAGCCCAUAAUAGCAUGUGGCUGCACACGGAAGUUUCUAGCAUGAAUAAUCUCAUGAUCCCUUUGAGCCUGAGUGGCGGUCCAUAGGAGAAUCACACGGUACCCCGGGAUUUCCAAAAAUACAGGCAAUCACUGGGUUCCCCAGGUGCCUCAAUCCACCCAGAUGUGAAUUUAAGUUGCCACCUUAAGUUAACCAUUAAUUAACAAUCUCACAUCUGUCAUGAAAUCUCUCAUACCCAAUCCACGUCUACGAGCAUAGCAUAGCAAUAUAAGCAUAACGUAAUAGUAACUCCCAAUGGUUUGAAUGCAGGGCAAUAGGUUCCUACCUCAUCAACUACUUCCCAAUACCCACAUGUUAUCAAUCCUACUCAUGCAAUGUUUGAUGGUUGAUCUAAUGCAUAAAAACUGGGUAUGAAAAGUAUGAUCAAAGUGUUACUUGCCUUGGUGAUGAUCCGUGAAACCUAGAGACUCGUAGUAGCACGCUUCGCACUCCGGGUACUCUAUCGCAAACAAAAAAUACACACAUAAGCAAUCAAGCAAGGGUGCACGGGUAAAACUCAAAUAAGAGAUCUAAACAGAAAGUACAACUUAAGAACUCCGGUUUGCAAAAAGAAUCAAAUCAAACGAAGUAACGAAACUCAAACGGUGAAAGAAACAAGUUUCGUUUACUAAUCUAGACCUAAGUCAAAUUUUAUAGUAGCAAAAACUUGUUUAAGUAGGUUAAACAGAAAGAGGGUUUCGAGACAAAACUCUAGGCGCUUGAAUCGCCUGAUUCCGAUAAACGAGCGAAAAGUUAUACUAAAACGAAAAACAGAUCGGAAAUCGCGAUCGAAAAUAAUUGCGGAAAAUCCGAGAAAAAGAAAAACAGACGAACAGGCUAACGAACGAACGUUCGCUGUCUGCAGUUAAACGACGAAAACCGUUCGUUAAAAUGAACGUACGGAGGAACGUCUGCAAAAAAAAUAAACCAAAAAAAUAAGCUGAACCGAUCUAAACAAAACCGAAACUAGGGUUUACGAAAUAAAACCGAUCGGUUUUAUAUAAAAAAACCGGCGGCUACCUCUAACUCCGGCGGGCGGCGGCGCGGUGGCUCCGGCNNNNNNNNNNNNNNNNNNNNNNNNNNNNNNNNNNNNNNNNNNNNNNNNNNNNNNNNNNNNNNNNNNNNNNNNNNNNNNNNNNNNNNNNNNNNNNNNNNNNNNNNNNNNNNNNNNNNNNNNNNNNNNNNNNNNNNNNNNNNNNNNNNNNNNNNNNNNNNNNNNNNNNNNNNNNNNNNNNNNNNNNNNNNNNNNNNNNNNNNNNNNNNNNNNNNNNNNNNNNNNNNNNNNNNNNNNNNNNNNNNNNNNNNNNNNNNNNNNNNNNNNNNNNNNNNNNNNNNNNNNNNNNNNNNNNNNNNNNNNNNNNNNNNNNNNNNNNNNNNNNNNNNNNNNNNNNNNNNNNNNNNNNNNNNNNNNNNNNNNNNNNNNNNNNNNNNNNNNNNNNNNNNNNNNNNNNNNNNNNNNNNNNNNNNNNNNNNNNNNNNNNNNNNNNNNNNNNNNNNNNNNNNNNNNNNNNNNNNNNNNNNNNNNNNNNNNNGCGACGGGCGGCGGGACGGCGCGGGUGUGCGGCGGCGGCGCGGGUCGGGUGGCGGCGACGCGGAUCCCGAGGCGGGGCUAGGGUUUCGGGUGGGCUGGUGGUGCUGGGGCUCGGGGUCUCGGUUUUUAAAGGCCGGCCCGAAGAGUCCUGGCCGGGUACGGCCCGAAGUCGGUUAGUUUUUUUAAUAAUUCGGACGUGCAUAAAAAGAAGGAAAAGAAAUACUAAACGGACUCCAAAAAGCCCGAAAUAAAUUUUCCCCGUCCUCUAGAAAUAAGCCGGACAAGAUGAACGUUUAUUUGGGCCUAAAAUGCAAUUUUGAAAAACGCGUAUUUUUCCUAAUUCAAAUAAAUUCAAAUAAAAUCAAAUAUUUGUUUUUAAUAUUUUUCCUCCAAUAUUUCAUUAUUUUUGGAGAAGUCAUAUUAUCCCCUCUCAUAUAUUUUAAAUAUGAAAUAUUUUUUGGAGAGAAAAUAAUUAAAACAAAUGGUCCUAUUUUCAAAAUUUGAGAAAAACCCAUAUAUGAAAAUAACGAAAUCCCCAACUCUCUCCGUGGGUCCUUGAAUUGCGUAGAAUUUCUAGGAUCGCAAAACAAAAUGCAAUAAAAUAUGUUAUGCAUGAUGAUCUAAUGUAUAACAUUCCAAAUUGAAAAUUUGGGUUGUUACAAACCUACCCCCCUUAAGAUGAAUCUCGGCCUCGAGAUUUGGGUUGGCUAGAAAAUAGGUGAGAGUGGUCCUUCCGUAGAUCUUCCUCUCGCUCCCAGGUGGCUUCAUCCUCGGUAUGGUGACUCCACUGAACUUUGCAAAACUUGAUAACCUUGUUGCAGGUGACUCGGCUGGCAAACUCAAGAAUCUUAACUGGUUUCUCCUCAUAGGUCAGAUUGCAAUCCAACUGAAUCGCUUCCAGGGGCACUGUAUCUUUCAGUGGUAUCUCGGCCAUCUCUGCGUGGCACUUUUUCAGCUGAGAGAAAUGGAACACAUCGUGAACUCCCGACAAUCCUUCGGGCAAUUCCAACUUGUAAGCAACUUCUCCCAUACGUUCCAAAACUCUGUAUGGUCCUACAAAAUGUGGCGCUAACUUUCCCUUAACUCCAAAGCGCUUCACUCCUCGAAGUGGUGAUACUCGAAGAUACACUCUGUCUCCGACUUCGUAAACUGUCUCCUUGCGUUUAGAAUCCGCAUAACUCUUCUGCCUGGACUGGGCUACCUUGAGCCCAUCGCGAAUCAACUUCACCUUCUGUUCAGACUCUUUAAUCAAAUCUGGUCCAAACAACUGGCGGUCUCCAACUUCGUCCCACAACAACGGUGUCCUGCACCUCCUUCCGUACAAAGCUUCGAAAGGGGCCAUCUUCAAACUGGAUUGGUAGCUAUUGUUGUAAGAAAACUCUGCAUAUGGCAAGUUGUCAUCCCAACUGGAUCCAUAAUCUAGCGCACAAGCUCUCAGCAUGUCCUCCAAAAUCUGAUUGACUCUCUCGGUCUGUCCGUCUGUCUGUGGAUGAAAAGCUGUGCUGAACUCUAGCCUGGUACCCAAAGUUUCGUGCAACUGAUUCCAAAACUUUGAAGUAAACUGGGUCCCUCUAUCUGAUACAAUGGUCCUCGGAACUCCAUGCAGACAUACGAUCCUAGUCAUGUAUAUCUUUGCCAACUUAGCACCUGUGUAAGUGGUCUUUACUGGGAUGAAAUGAGCUACCUUCGUCAAACGAUCGACUACAACCCAUAUCGAGUCAUAGCCUGAACGUGUCCUGGGCAAUCCCGUGAUAAAUUCCAUGUGUAGCUUAUCCCACUUCCAUUCGGGUAUCGGCAAUGGUUGUAGCAAUCCUGCUGGCUUCUGAUGCUCUGCCUUCACUCUUUGACAUACAUCACAAACUGCUACAUACUUCGCAAUAUCCUUCUUCAUUCCGGUCCACCAGAAACUAUCCUUUAAAUCCAGGUACAUCUUGGUAUUUCCUGGGUGAAUCGAAUAUGGUGAAUCAUGGGCCUGUUGCAAAAUCAACUUCCUGAUCUCUGGAUCAUUGGGCACAUAAACGCGGUCCUCAAACCAUAAGGUAUCGUGCUCAUCCUCACGAAAACCCUUGGCUUUUCCUUUACUCAUCCUUUCCUUUAUCUCGGCAAUCUCCUUGUCCGUCUUCUGAGCUUCUCUGAUCUUAUCCAUCAAAGUAGACUGAAUCUCCAAUGCUGCUACAAAGCCUCUUGGAACUAUUUCCAAACAUAGUUCACGAAGAUCUUCGGCUAACUCCUUGGGUAACUCUCCGGUCAUGAGUGUGUUGACAUGGCUCUUGCGGCUCAACGCAGCAGCUACUACGCUAGCCUUCCCUGGGUGAUAAUGCAAUCUCAUAUCAUAAUCCUUAAUGAGCUCCAACCAUCUCCUUUGCCUGAGAUUCAACUCCUUCUGCGUGAAAAUGUACUUCAAACUCUUGUGAUCCGUGUACACCUCACAAUGGUUUCCGAUGAGAAAAUGCCUCCAUGUCUUCAACGCAUGCACUACGGCUGCUAACUCCAAAUCAUAUGUAGCAUAAUUCAACUCAUGGGGUUUAAGCUGUCGUGAGGCAUAUGAAACAACUCUUCCCUCCUGCAUAAGUACGGCUCCAAGUCCGCGACGAGAAGCGUCGCAAUAUACUUCAUAAUCCUUGCAUUGUUCUAGCAGAAUCAACACUGGUGCUGUAACCAAACGUUUCUUCAACUCCUGGAAACUAGCCUCACAUCCUCCGUCCAAUUGAACUUGGUGUCUUUCUUCAACAACUCGGUCAUAGGUUUUGCAAUCUUUGAGAAAUUCUCAAUGAACCUCCGGUAGUAUCCUGCGAGUCCAAGAAAACUCCGGAUUUCUCCAACUGACGUGGGUGCUUCCCAAUUAGUCACAGUGUUAACCUUGGUGGGAUCUACUGCUAUUCCUUCUCCGGAUAUAACAUGUCCAAGGAAUCCAACUUCCUUUAACCAAAACUCGCACUUGCUGAACUUGGCAUAUAACUGAUGUUCUCUGAGCUUUCCAAGUACCAAACGCAAAUGCUCCUUAUGCUCUUCUUCACUCUUCGAAUAGACCAGAAUAUCAUCAAUGAACACUACGACGAACUUAUCCAAAACUCCAUAAACACUUUGUUCAUCAUGUUCAUGAAAUAGGCAGGUGCGUUAGUCAGGCCAAAUGACAUAACGGUGUACUCAUAUAGCCCAUACCUUGUGGUAAAAGCUGUCUUGGGUAUAUCCUGCUCUUGAAUCUUCACUGGUGGUAUCCUGAUCGUAAAUCAAUCUUGGAAAAUACUUUAGAUCCUUGUAGUCGGUCAAACAGAUCAUUGACCAUCGGCAGUGGGUAUUUGUUCUUGAUUGUUACUUCAUUCAAUCCACGAUAAUCAACAACCACCCUCAACGAUCCAUCUUUCUUCUCCACUAGAAGUACUGGUGAUCCCCAAGGUGAUGAACUUGGGCGAAUAUAUCCUUUAUCCAGUAACUCCUUAAUCCGCUUCUUAAUUUCCUCCAAAUCCUUAGCGGGCAUUCUGUACGGUCUCUUAGAUAUCAGCCCUGUGCCUGGCAAAAGCUCAAUCAAAAACUCAAUGUCUCUAUCCGGUGGCAUGCCUGGCAACUCCUCUGGAAAUACGUCAGGGAAAUCCUUCACCACUGGUACUUCCUCCUGUACAACUCCUGAUAAGGAAUUUACUUGAGUCCUCUUCGGCACAUGCCGGGAUCUUAAUCCUUCUUCCUUCUGGGGUAGUAAGCAAGAUCGUCUUACUGGCGCAAUCGAUGUUUCCUCCAUACAUCGAUAGCCAAUCCAUUCCCAAAAUCACAUCCAAACCUUGCGACUCCAAAACUAUUAGGUCUGAUGGGAAAACAUGCCUACCUAUGGCCAAUGGCAUCGGAAAACAUCCUUGGCUUGCCAUAUACUUUGCUCCUGGCGAGGUUACUAACAUAGGUGUUCUAAGAACUUUGGUGGGCAACUUAAACUUAUCCACAAAUCCCCUUGAUAUGUAUGAAUGCGAUGCACCAGUAUCAAAAAGAACGAUUGCAGUAAAUGUCUUAACCAAAAACUUACCUAUUACUGCAUCAGGCUGUGCUUCAACCUCCUCCACGUUAACGUGGUUCACUUGUCCUCUGUUGAAAGGGUUCGGCUUCUUCCUCGAGCUUCCGUUGCCAUUCCCAUUCUUAGCUUCAGGACAUUCAUUGGCAUAAUGUCCAGUCUUCUGGCAUUUGUAGCAAGUGACGUGGCUCAGAUCCUUCAUGGCUGGGGUUGAUGGGUUGGUACGGUUCUGUCCGUUGCUUCCUCCAUUCCCAUUGCCAUUCUUGGGGCCACUAUGAUUGUGCGAGCUCCCUCCAUUGUGAUUGUGACCUCCGUGGUUAUGCUGAAAGUGUCCUCCCGAGUUCGGGGUAAAACGUGGCUUCUGAUGAGCUCCUGUACUGUACUUUCCUUGUCCAUACUUCCUCUUACGGCUCUCAAUCUACUACUGCUUCCCUUCAAUCAUGAGAGCUCUGUCUACCAACUCCUGGUAGUUGUUAAAAGUCGCCACCAUCAACUGCAUGCUCAGCUCAUCAUUCAGUCCUUCCAGAAACUUCUCCUGCUUAGCUGCAUCUGUAGCAACGUCAUCUGGGGCAUAACGUGCUAACUUACUGAAAUCCUCCACGUAUUGGCCAACGGUACGUACUCCUUGGCGUAAGUUGCGAAACUCACGCUUCUUCAUGGCCAUAGCUCCUGCUGAAACGUGGGCAGUACGGAAAGCUUGCUGAAACUGGUCCCAUGUGACAGUGUCAAUGGGAUGAGUGGCUGUGUAAUUCUCCCACCAUGAUGCUGCGGGUCCAUCAAGCUGAUGUGCGGCAAAACACACUCUCUCCGCAUCUGUGCAUCCUGCAGUGGUCAGCUCCCUCCCAACCUUGCUGAGCCAAUCAUCUGCCACAAUCGGCUCGGUGCUACUGGAGAACAUCGGCGGAUUUAGCCUAAGAAAACAUGCUAAGUGAUCAACAUGUGGUGGUGGUGGUGGGUUGUUGUUGUUGUUGCUGCUGCCUUGGUUCUGAACUAGUGCUUGCAUCAGGGCAUUCUGCUGCUGAAUCAACUGAGUGAUCUCCGGUGGGAAAACAAAUCCGGUGUCGCGUCUCGGAGGCAUCUAAUGGGUUUAGAAAAGAUGAGAAAAUAGGAUAGAAUGAGAUCUAGAGGGAAAACACUACCCAUAUGCACAUGAGACAAACACAAUCAUAUCACUUCAAUCAAUUCAAACAAGGCAUACAAUCGAUCUAACUAUCGUUACAAAGUGCUUGGACUAUACUAUAUACAUGGUGGAAUACUACUACUAAUUUGGUGGUCUACUAGAAAAAUUGCUCAGUCGAAGACUCCAUGAUAUCUGCUCCGGCUUCAUCCUCCCAAUCAUCAUCACUGGGGUCCGAGUCGGUGUCGUCGAUGUAGUUCUCCGGGCAAGUAGAAUAGUCAUCUUCUCCUCCUGGUGUUGGGUCUCCCAUGAAUACUCUGAUCUUCUUUAUCAGGUCGUCAUUCUUCCCCACUAGUGCGACGAUUUCCUCCAUAUAAUCCUCACGUGUAGCCUUGAGUUCUUCCUCCAGUUCCAUGAUCCUAGUCUUUGCCUUCUUCAGAACUAUCAUGUCUGCCCACAUCUGGUUCUCCUGGCGACGAAUGUGCUGGUUUAACUCCUGAAUUAAAGCUGCAAUAGAUCUAUCCUUCCUGGUGCUGAUCAUCUCCCAUUGCUCGUCUCGGCGCCCACAAAUCUGGUAGAUAGUAUCCUUGAGAUCAUUGUGGUACACUUCUCCAAUGCGUCCCAUGGUGUUGUGGGCUGCCAUGCUCUUUCCUAGACUCCAGGUUGGUGCAUCGGAAGAAAACUCUAUGGGCUCAGUGACUGGCGUGAACGUCCUUCUUGGAACUUGAACUUGAAUCAUCCAGCGCUCCUCUUCUGGUAGUGUGGCGUUUUAGGUCCCGGUGAAGCUUGGUAUUCCGAUGUUCAGGUACUUAGUAACUUCCUUCAAGUGUCGUCCAAAAGGUGUAUCCUCAUCCAGUUGGGCGAACUUGUUCCUUGCAUCCGCCAUCCUAAAAGAGUGGAAGAAAGGAGAGGAGUCAGAAAUGAGAAGAGAGUAGUAAUCUAGGGCUUUAGCUUAGUGGUCGUGUCCUAUAGUCAGCAUGUGCUCUGAUACCAUCUUUGUAGCGACCAGACCUCAAACAGUCUAGUCUCCGUGCAUCAGUGUCAUCCCUGGAUCGGUAAUGCUGACACACACAAUACUUGAAGGAUUUAUAACAGAGUAGCAAUCACACACUUAUUACAUCGAAUGUCUCAAAUGAGAACUUAUUACAAUAAAUAUGGCUUAAGGCCAUCUAAAACGAUAACAGCGGAAGGCUUGGAAGAUAAAGUGAGUCCAUCAACUCCAACGGCAUCACUGAGUAUAAGACCACGACCUAAGGCUCCUUACUCGUCGUCUGAAAAGUCUGCAACAUGGUACGUUGCAGCCCGAAAACGGGUCAGCACAUGGAAUAUGCUAGCAAAGUAACUCAUAGAGAGUAAUGAACAGAAUAAUGCUAUCACUACAUGCAUAUUUGGCUGGUGGAAAGCUCUAUGGUUACAGUUUUGCGAAAAGCCAUUUUUUCCCUACUGCAAAGGAAUAUAUUUUAACUACAAAGUUUUUUGAAAACAUUGAGAAGGUAAACCCCCUCUCAAUCCCAAUUAAAGAAAUCAUUAACAACCCAACAAAAUUAGUUAAGUACAUGAUGAUGAGAUUCACAUGAUAAUCCAAGAACUAGAUACUCAAGAUGUCCAUAACCGGGGACACGGCUAACCAUGAUUAGAUUGUACACUCUGCAGAGGUUUGUGCACGUUUCGCCACAAGACUCGAUCUCCUCCGUUGGAUUUCUCGCACUACAUGGUGUUUGAGAAACGGAUGACCGAGACACAGUCUUUCAGACGCGUUAGCACCUUACGAUGGGUAGACAGUUACACCUACUUUCCCCUACAUCUGCUAGUCUACCAUUGUAAGAGUUCACACGACUUAAUCAACUAUGCUAGAGCCCAUAAUAGCUUGUGGCUGCACACGGAAGUUUCUAGCAUGAAUAAUCUCAUGAUCCCUUUGAGCCUGGGUGGCGGUCCACAGGAGAAUCACAUGGUACCCCAGGAUUUCCAAAAAUACAGGCAAUCACUGGGUUCCCCAGGUGCCUCAAUCCACCCAGAUGUGAAUUUAAGUUGCCACCUUAAGUUAACCAUUAAUUAACAAUCUCACAUCUGUCAUGAAAUCUCUCAUACCCAAUCCACAUCUACGAGCAUAGCAUAGCAAUAUAAGCAUAACGUAAUAGUAACUCCCAAUGGUUUGAAUGCGGAGCAAUAGGUUCCUACCUCAUCAACUACUUCCCAAUACCCACAUGUUAUCAAUCCUACUCAUGCAAUGUUUGAUGGUUGAUCUAAUGCAUAAAAACUGGGUAUGAAAAGUAUGAUCAAAGUGUUACUUGCUUUGCCGAUGAUCCGUGAAACCUAGAGACUCGUAGUAGCACGCUUCGCACUCCGGGUACUCUAUCGCAAACAAACAAUACACACAUAAGCAAUCAAGCAAGGGUGCACGGGUAAAACUCAAAUAAGAGAUCUAACCAGAAAGUUCAACUUAAGAACUCCGGUUUGCAAAAAGAAUCAAAUCGAACGAAGUAACGAAAAUCAAAUGGCGAAAGAAACAAGUUUCGUUUAUUAAUGUGGACCUAAGUCAAAUUUUACAGUAGAAAACUUGUUUAAGUAGGUUAAACAGAAAGAGGGUUUCGAGUCGAAACUCUAGGCGCUUGAAUCGCCUGAUUCCGAUAAACGAGCGAAAACUUAUACUAAAACGAAAAACAGAUCGGAAAUCGCGAUCGAAAAUAAUUGCGAAAAAUCCGAGAAAAAGAAAAACUGACGAACAGGCUAACGAACGAACGUUCGCUGUCUGCGGUUAAACGACGAAAACCAUUCGUUAAAACGAACAUACGGACGAACGUCCGCAAAAUAAAUAAACCAAAAAAAAA
rnacentral:lncRNA from 1 species